rnacentral:rRNA from 1 species
UACAGAGGGUGCGAGCGUUGUCCGGAAUCACUGGGCGUAAAGGGCGCGUAGGUGGCGACCCAAGUCGAUGGUGAAAGCUCGCCGCUCAACGGCGAGUCGGCCACCGAUACUGGGUUGCUGGAGCACUGUAGAGGGCAGAUGGAAUUCCGGGUGUAGCGGUGGAAUGCGUAGAGAGUCCGGAAGAACGACCGGUGGCGAAGGCGGUCUGCUGGGCAGUUGCUGGACACUGAGG